rnacentral:rRNA from 1 species
UAGGGAAUCUUCCACAAUGGGCGAAAGCCUGAUGGAGCAACGCCGCGUGAGUGAAGAAGGGUUUCGGCUCGUAAAACUCUGUUGUUAAAGAAGAACAUAUCUGAGAGUAACUGUUCAGGUAUUGACGGUAUUUAACCAGAAAGUCACGGCUAACUACGUGCCAA